rnacentral:rRNA from 1 species
GACGAACGCUGGCGGCGUGCUUAACACAUGCAAGUCGAACGGAAAGGCCCUGCUUUUGUGGGGUGCUCGAGUGGCGAACGGGUGAGUAACCCGUGAGUAACCUGCCCUUGACUUUGGGAUAACUUCAGGAAACUGGGGCUAAUACCGCAUAGGAGCUCCUGCUGCAUGGUGGGGGUUGGAAAGUUUCGGCGGUGGGGGAUGGACUCGCGGCUUAUCAGCUUGUUGGUGGGGUCGUGGCUUACCAAGGCUUUGACGGGUAGCCGGCCUGAGAGGGUGACCGGCCACAUUGGGACUGAGAUGCGGCCCAGACUCCUACGGGAGGCAGCAGUGGGGAAUAUUGCACAAUGGGCGGAAGCAUGAUGCAGCAACGCCGCGUGCGGGAUGACGGCCUUCGGGGUGUAAACCGCUUUCGCCUGUGACGAAGCGUGAGUGACGGUAAUGGGUAAAGAAGCACCGGCUAACUACGUG